rnacentral:tRNA from 1 species
GCCCCUGUAGCUCAACUGGCAGAGCACCUGAUUUGUAAUCAGGGGGUUGCGGGUUCAAGUCCUGCCGGGGGCACCA